UACUAGAGUAGCACUCGCAUAUCAAUAAGCGGAGGAAAAGAAACUAACAAGGAUUCCCUAGUAACGGCGAGUGAAGCGGGAAGAGCUCAAAUUUGAAAUCUUAAAGGGUUUCCCUUUACGAAUUGUAGUUUAAAGAAGUGUUUUCUGUUGAGGUUUUGGUAAAAGUUCUUUGGAAUAGGACAUCAUAGAGGGUGAGAAUCCCGUAUUUGACCUUUACUUUCAACUUUGUGAUACACUUUCAAAGAGUCGGAUUGUUUGGGAAUGCAGUCCAAAAUGGGUGGUAAAUUUCAUCUAAAGCUAAAUAUUGGCGAGAGACCGAUAGCGAACAAGUACCGUGAGGGAAAGAUGAAAAGAACUUUGAAAAGAGAGUUAAACAGUACGUGAAAUUGUCAAAAGGGAAGCGUUUGACACCAGUGUUGUUUUUCUGAAAAUCAAUUAAAGAACUGUUUAUGCUAAGCUGUUUAGACUUUAUCAGCUAUCUGUUUAGUUUUGAGCUUUUCUUUAAUGCACUUUUCAGUUAACAAGUCAACAUCAAUUUCUUUUGCUGUAAAAAAGCUUGAGGAAGGUGGCUUGAGAUUCGUCUUAAGUGUUUAUAGCCUCUUGCCUAUGCAGUCGGAGAGAUUGAGGUCUGCAGCGUAGAUCCUUCGGGGCUAAAUGCAUUUGUGCUAAGUUGAUAGCAUUUUAUAGACAACUUGUUGACUAUGAUUUGUCUUGUAGCUUACUCGCUUAUGUUAUUUUACCUACGCUUAGGAUGUUGAGUCAUCACACAUCUCU
rnacentral:rRNA from 1 species